rnacentral:rRNA from 1 species
GACGAACGCUGGCGGCGUGCUUAACACAUGCAAGUCGAACGGAAAGGCCCUGCUUUUGUGGGGUGCUCGAGUGGCGAACGGGUGAGUAACACGUGAGUAACCUGCCCUUGACUUUGGGUUAACUUCAGGAAACUGGGGCUAUUACCGGUUAGGAGCUCCUGCUGCAUGGUGGGGUUUGGAAAGUUUCGGCGGUUGGGGAUGGACUCGCGGCUUAUCAGCUUGUUGGUGGGGUAGUGGCUUACCAAGGCUUUGACGGGUAGCCGGCCUGAGAGGGUGACCGGCCACAUUGGGACUGAGAUACGGCCCAGACUCCUACGGGAGGCAGCAGUGGGGAAUAUUGCACAAUGGGCGGAAGCCUGAUGCAGCAACGCCGCGUGCGGGAUGACGGCCUUCGGGUUGUAAACCGCUUUCGCCUGUGACGAAGCGUGAGUGACGGUAAUGGGUAAAGAAGCACCGGCUAACUACGUG